AUUCAACUGACGAGUCCCAAGCAGGACGAGGCGCACGUCCUGAAU
rnacentral:hammerhead_ribozyme from 1 species